UGAUAGCGAUGAAGCGUGAGGUUGCUGCUUAACAUAGCAGGUGUUCCGUGGAGCGAAUGUCAAGUUAGGAAACUGGCGACAA
rfam:Lachnospiraceae bacterium 9_1_43BFAA genomic scaffold supercont1.4, whole genome shotgun sequence.